UAUAUGACGCAUCACUGUAGGGGGUGCCGGGACAGCCUGAGGAGGCUGUGGUGCCCCCUGGAAGGGCAUGCAAAAGAUCUAGACCGCUUGGAUUGCCGUCGUCAGAUGUUGAACUUGCUGGAAGAGCUAACCGAAUUGGUCGACCGUGACUGGUGCCGGCUGGGCCAGUGAAACCGAUGGAGGGACGACCGAUUGAACCGAUGGAGGGAUUUUUGAUGUCAGCAGUUGAACUUGAUUAUCAGCUUGACUGGCUGCC
rnacentral:lncRNA from 1 species